UACGUAGGGACCAAGCGUUGUUCGGAUUUACUGGGCGUAAAGGGCGCGUAGGCGGCAAUUCAAGUCAUCUGUGAAAUCUCCGGGCUUAACUCGGAAUGGUCAGGUGAUACUGCUUUGCUAGAGUGCAGAAGGGGCAAUCGGAAUUCCAGGUGUAGCGGUGAAAUGCGUAGAUAUCUGGAGGAAUACCGGUGGCGAAGGCGGCAUCCUGGACCGGCAUUGACGCUGAGGAGCGAAAGCCAGGGGAGCAAACGGG
rnacentral:rRNA from 1 species